GAUGAACGCUGGCGGCGUGCCUAAUACAUGCAAGUCGAGCGAACAGACGAGGAGCUUGCUCCUCUGACGUUAGCGGCGGACGGGUGAGUAACACGUGGAUAACCUACCUAUAAGACUGGGAUAACUUCGGGAAACCGGAGCUAAUACCGGAUAAUAUAUUGAACCGCAUGGUUCAAUAGUGAAAGAAGGUUUUGCUGUCACUUAUAGAUGGAUCCCCGCCGCAUUAGCUAGUUGGUAAGGUAACGGCUUACCAAGGCAACGAUGCGUAGCCGACCUGAGAGGGUGAUCGGCCACACUGGAACUGAGACACGGUCCCGACUCCUACGGGAGGCAGCAGUAGGGAAUCUUCCGCAAUGGGCGAAAGCCUGACGGAUCAACGCCGCGUGAGUGAUGAAGGUCUUCGGAUCGUAAAACUCUGUUAUUAGGGAAGAACAAAUGUGUAAGUAACUAUGCACGUCUUGACGGUACCUAAUCAGAAAGCCACGGCUAACUACGUG
rnacentral:rRNA from 1 species